UACAGAGGUCUCAAGCGUUGUUCGGAUUCAUUGGGCGUAAAGGGUGUGUAGGUGGCGCCGUAAGUCGGGUGUGAAAUUUCGGAGCUUAACUCCGAAACUGCAUUCGAUACUGCGGUGCUUGAGGACUGGAGAGGAGACUGGAAUUCAUGGUGAGCAGUGAAAUGCGUAGAGAUCAUGAGGAAGACCAGUGGCGAAGGCGGGUCUCUGGACAGUUCCUGACACUGAGACACGAAGGCCAGGGAGCAAACGGG
rnacentral:rRNA from 1 species